UUCGGAUUGCAGGCUGCAACCCGCCUGUAUGAAGUUGGAAUCGCUAGUAAUCGCGGAUCAGCAUGCCGCGGUGAAUACGUUCCCGGGCCUUGUACACACCGCCCGUCACACCAUGAGAGUCGGGAACACCCGAAGUCCGUAGUCUAACUUUCACGAGAGGACGCGGCCGAAGGUGGGUUCGAUAAUUGGGGUGAAGUCGUAACAAGGUAUC
rnacentral:rRNA from 1 species